rnacentral:rRNA from 1 species
GACGAACGCUGGCGGCGUGCUUAACACAUGCAAGUCGAACGGAAAGGCCCUGCUUUUGUGGGGUGCUCGAGUGGCGAACGGGUGAGUAACACGUGAGUAACCUGCCCUUAACUUUGGGAUAACUUCAGGAAACUGGGGCUAAUACCGGAUAGGAGCUCCUGCUGCAUGGUGGGGGUUGGAAAGUUUCGGCGGUUGGGGAUGGACUCGCGGCGUAUCAGCUUGUUGGUGGGGUAGUGGCUUACCAAGGCUUUGACGGGUAGCCGGGCUGGGAGGGUGACCGGCCACAUUGGGACUGAGAUACGGCCCAGACUCCUACGGGAGGCAGCAGUGGGGAAUAGUGCACUAUGGGCGGAAGCCUGAUGCAGCAACGCCGCGUGGGGGAUGACGGCCUUCGGGUUGUAAACCGCUUUCGCCUGUGACGAAGCGUGAGUGACGGUAAUGGGUAAAGAAGCACCGGCUAACUACGUG